rnacentral:lncRNA from 1 species
UCAGGAUUACCUUUGGCUGCUGUUUCUGUGGAGGCAAAAAGAGCUUAACCCAUGGGGGUGGGUUAUAGAUUAGACAUUCCCAAAUGGCAAUGUAGGGAACCUGGUCAGGAUGAAGGAUGGCCUUACAAACUCUGCGUACAACCUGUAAAUCAAAAGUUCCCUCGGGGGGCCAUCCUACCCUAAGGGUGGGCCAUUCUGAGCUACAGAGGGUGAUGAACUUAGUCUUUUUAAUUUCUAAACUUAGGUUGUGAGCGCGCUCCCUGACUUCUUUGAAAUGGUCCUUCAUGAGGGGAAGAGGGGUAGUCACAGUCUGUCCCAUCGUCUCACUCCAAGUCAACACAAUAAACAGACAAACACAACAGAAAAGCACAAGGCAAGACAAAACCGUCCUCUGCCCGAUCGGAGGCAAUGAAAAUGGGACGACGGCCUCACGCCGUACCACGGGAGCGACCCGCACCGUCCCCCCAGGAGUCUCACAGGCUCGUACUCAUGGGGCACUCUGUCCCCCCCUGCGGGAUCCAGAACAUCUUCCAGGAUCCCGGGUCAGCGGCCUUCGCAGCGCGUCAGCCUAGACCAUCAGCCGACCUUCCCAGAAAAUUGGCCCAGACUUUACAAACACAAAAAACACACCAGCUGGCAUUGACCCUCCGGCAUGGAGAUUCUGAAGAUCUUGGGAUCCCGGACGAGCCCCCAAAUGUUGUGCCCAGAUUACAAAGUCCCAAAGACCACCAGGAGGCCGUUUCCAAUAUACAAGAUGACCAUAUAAUUUACUGUCCAUACAAGGACCUUCUGGAGAGAAGAUGGGGAUCUAGAUAGCAGGUGUAAACAAUACUUU